rnacentral:rRNA from 1 species
GACGAACGCUGGCGGCGUGCUUAACACAUGCAAGUCGAACGGAAAGGCCCUGCUUUUGUGGGGUGCUCGAGUGGCGAACGGGUGAGUAACACGUGAGUAACCUGCCCUUGACUUUGGGAUAACUUCAGGAAACUGGGGCUAAUACCGGAUAGGAGCUCCUGCUGCAUGGUGGGGGUUGGAAAGUUUCGGCGGUUGGGGAUGGACUCGCGGCUUAUCAGCUUGUUGGUGGGGUAGUGGCUUACCAAGGCUUUGACGGGUAGCCGGCCUGAGAGGGUGACCGGACACAUUGGGACUGAGAUACGGGCCAGACUUCUACGGGAGGCAGCAGUGGGGAAUAUUGCACAAUGGGCGGAAGCCUGAUGCAGCAACGCCGCGUGCGGGAUGACGGCCUUCGGGUUGUAAACCGCUUUCGCCUGUGACGAAGCGUGAGUGACGGUAAUGGGUAAAGAAGCACCGGCUAACUACGUG